GGCCUAUUUUGCCCAGGCGGAGCUCGACCGCCGACCGAAAUAAUGGUGACAUUUAUCGAUAGCAACAAAGCAAAAUACGGGAUCGAGCCAAUCUGCAGACAAAUACAGAUUGUCCCG
rfam:Nitrosomonas sp. AL212, complete genome.